rnacentral:rRNA from 1 species
UACGAAGGGUGCAAGCGUUACUCGGAAUUACUGGGCGUAAAGCGUGCGUAGGCGGUUUGUUAAGUCCGUUGUGAAAGCCCUGGGCUCAACCUGGGAAUUGCAGUGGAUACUGGCGAGCUAGAGUGCGGUAGAGGAGUGGUGGAAUUCCCGGUGUAGCGGUGAAAUGCGUAGAGAUCGGGAGAAACACCCGUGGCGAAGGCGGCCAGUCUGGACCAGCCACGUGACGC